CGCGGCCUAUCAGCUUGUUGGUGGGGUAGUGGCUUACCAAGGCUUUGACGGGUAGCCGGCCUGAGGGGGUGACCGGCCACAUUGGGACUGAGAUACGGCCCAGACUCCUACGGGAGGCAGCAGUGGGGAAUAUUGCACAAUGGGCGGAAGCCUGAUGCAGCAACGCCGCGUGCGGGAUGACGGCCUUCGGGUUGUAAACCGCUUUCGCCUGUGACGAAGCGUGAGUGACGGUAAUGGGUAAAGAAGCACCGGCUAACUACGUGCCAGCAGCCGCGGUGAUACGUAGGGUGCGAGCGUUGUCCGGAUUUAUUGGGCGUAAAGGGCUCGUAGGUGGUUGAUCGCGUCGGAAGUGUAAUCUUGGGGCUUAACCCUGAGCGUGCUUUCGAUACGGGUUGACUUGAGGAAGGUAGGGGAGAAUGGAAUUCCUGGUGGAGCGGUGGAAUGCGCAGAUAUCAGGAGGAACACCAGUGGCGAAGGCGGUUCUCUGGGCCUUUCCUGACGCUGAGGAGCGAAAGCGUGGGGAGCGAACAGGCUUAGAUACCCUGGUAGUCCACGCUGUAAACGGUGGGUACUAGGUGUGGGGUCCAUUCCACGGGUUCCGCGCCGUAGCUAACGCUUUAAGUACCCCGCCUGGGGAGUACGG
rnacentral:rRNA from 1 species